UCAGCCGCCCGUACGGGGCUGAUGUUGGAGACGCGAGUUUCCAUGCGUCUCCAUUCCAUGUUGCUUUACGGAGGAUAUGGCUAUGAGAA
rnacentral:sRNA from 1 species